AUAAAGGCUUGAGCCUCGCGCCCUCCCAUUCUUUCCCGUGGGCGCCGUGGGUUGAGGUCGUGUCCUCGCUGGGCCCCCAGCCUCCGGCGGUGCCUGGCCUCUCCCGCCCCGGCGGAAGGUGCGAACCCCCCCAGACCUACUUCUCCCUGCAGGGCGGCGGGUGACCCGACUGGAGGCCCUGAUCCAGAGUCCAGGAGGAAAUUGGCCCAAGACACUCAGAGUUGGAGACAAAGGGCUUUGUGGGAGUAGAGCCCUGAGAAGACCACACUGCCGGAGCUGGACUACACCCGCCAGGUCACUUGGAGAUGUUCUGCUUCUUCCUGGGUCAUUGGACUGCCAGGACAUGGCAAGCUACCUGUUCCUUGUUCAUCCCUGGCCAUCUGCCUGCACAGGGCGCCCACUUGUUUUUCCCUGGAUCUUUCCUGAGAGCUGGCUCUGCGCUGGAUGUGAUCCUCCCUCAGCCCUAAGACAUUGGCUUGCUAUUUCUAUCACACAGAUGAGCACAGUGAGGGAUCUGGGUGCCCCUUCAUGCCUGGGUGAAUAGCAGAGCUGCAGGAUGUCCCACAGUGACCCUGCUUGGACUCUCCCAGUGAGAGGUAGCAGGACAUGGGCCAAGCGCUUGUGGGUUUAGUUGUUUCCAGCUGGUUUAAGCAGAGAGAACACAGAAAGGAAGUAGUGCAGCCUUGGGAUGCAGCCUGCCCCUGGGUCUCAGGACAGUGGACAGGAGCCUUGCCCAUGUGCGAGUCUGGGGACUUCUCCCUGAGACCACUGGCCAGCCUAGGUUAGGCAUCCAUCCACCAGUGGCCCAACAGUAGAACAAUUUUAUUACUUUUUCAUUAAAAGUUGAGAUACAAUUUACAGGGCAGGGGAUCCCUGGGUGGUUCAGCAGUUUAGCACCUGCCUUUGGUCCAGGGCCUGUUCCUGGAGCCCCAGGACCGAGUCCC